rnacentral:rRNA from 1 species
AGCUUGCUCCAGGCGUCGAGCGGCGGACGGGUGAGUAAUGCAUAGGAAUCUGCCCGGUAGUGGGGGAUAACCUGGGGAAACUCAGGCUAAUACCGCAUACGCCCUACGGGGGAAAGCAGGGGCUCUUCGGACCUUGCGCUAUCGGAUGAGCCUAUGUCGGAUUAGCUAGUUGGUGAGGUAAUGGCUCACCAAGGCGACGAUCCGUAGCUGGUCUGAGAGGAUGAUCAGCCACAUCGGGACUGAGACACGGCCCGAACUCCUACGGGAGGCAGCAGUGGGGAAUAUUGGACAAUGGGCGAAAGCCUGAUCCAGCCAUGCCGCGUGUGUGAAGAAGGCUUUCGGGUUGUAAAGCACUUUCAGUGAGGAAGAACGCCUUGGGGCUAAUACCCCCGAGGGAAGACAUCACUCACAGAAGAAGCACCGGCUAACUCCGUGCCAGCAGCCGCGGUAAUACGGAGGGUGCAAGCGUUAAUCGGAAUUACUGGGCGUAAAGCGCGCGUAGGCGGCGUGAUAAGCCGGUUGUGAAAGCCCCGGGCUCAACCUGGGAACGGCAUCCGGAACUGUCAGGCUAGAGUGCAGGAGAGGAAGGUAGAAUUCCCGGUGUAGCGGUGAAAUGCGUAGAGAUCGGGAGGAAUACCAGUGGCGAAGGCGGCCUUCUGGACUGACACUGACGCUGAGGUGCGAAAGCGUGGGUAGCAAA